rnacentral:rRNA from 1 species
GUCUAUGGCCAUACCACCUUGAAUGCUUCCGAUCUCAUCUGAUCUCGGAAGCUACACAGGGUCAGGACUAGUUCUUACUUGGAUGUGAGACAAAUCUUCAGAACAGGCUGCUCAGAAA